GGGUGGGGCAGGGAGGGGCCGAGAACUCCGGGCGGGGCCCCGCCUCCUCUCGCGAGACUGUAGACAGCCGCUCCCGGGUCGCCUCUUUCGAAACCUUGCUGGAGGGGUGGGGGUGUUCCCUUGGGUACCUCGAACCCGUGAUCGACCCCCCCUCCUCUGAGUCUAGCUACCCAAAUAAAUCUGAAAUAGGGCUGCCAGGAGGAGUGAAUAGGCCCGAACCUCUGUCCCUCUGCCGCGCGGGCCUGGGACCCGCUCUCCUGAGGGCGGAAAGGGUGCAAAGCCGAGCUGACUCCGGGCCCACCCCCGAGGGUCGAGGCCCUGGGAGGACUUCGAACACGGGAUCGUUAGCUUGGUUCCAAAAGGAAUGUAGGACGAGCAUGCCGCAUCUGACAGGUGAGACUACAUAACCAGACUUCGGGCUUUUGAGAGAAUCUUGUGUUUUAUGUAAAAAUACUCCUCUAAGAAAAAAAGAGUUACUGUGGCUUUUAAGACCUAUAGGGCCUUUUUAAAAUACUAAACUAAUGUACCUACUUUAUAUCUUUUAAACUUCUUUUGGGUUGUGGUUGGUAAAGGACACUGAAAAUGACAAGCUCAAUAUAUAGGUGCUAAUUUAAAUAACUUUGGUUAUUGAGUAGGCACUGGGGACUAGCAAAGAACAGAGUUUGAAACCCAGAUAAAAAAACAUAAUGGUACCACAGCAGUCUCUUUCCAUCUGAGGUUACUUUCCCUGAUUUGGAUUUGUCUUUUAUUAAGUUAUCUCUGCACCCCACAUGGGGUUCACACUCACAAAUCUGGGAUGAAGAAUUGUAUGCUCUACCAACUGAGCCUACCAGGCACCCCUGGAUUUGUCUUUUAAAUCCACUGACCAUGCUGCUUUGUGUCUUUGGACAACACAUAGGUACUCAGUGAAUACUCACUGUAAGGUUAUAAAGGUGGCUAAUUUGCUACAUAAGCUCCUAAGGAGGUAAGGUGAUAGCCUGGGUGCUCUAAAUAUGAUAAAUAUUGAGGAGAAAUGCUUAGAAAAUUAUUUCACUGAGAAACAAUUUUUAGAGGUUUUAACUAUCUUAUCUUCUUAGUUUUCAAGCAGGUACUCAUCUUCACUAUUGGUCUAGCUUCUGCUAAAACCAAG
rnacentral:lncRNA from 1 species